UACGAAGGGGGCUAGCGUUGUUCGGAAUUACUGGGCGUAAAGCGCACGUAGGCGGACAUUUAAGUCAGGGGUGAAAUCCCAGAGCUCAACUCUGGAACUGCCUUUGAUACUGGGUGUCUUGAGUAUGGAAGAGGUGAGUGGAAUUCCGAGUGUAGAGGUGAAAUGCGUAGAUAUCUGGAGGAAUACCGGUGGCGAAGGCGGCAUCCUGGACCGACAUUGACGCUGAGGAGCGAAAGCCAGGGGAGCAAACGGG
rnacentral:rRNA from 1 species